rnacentral:lncRNA from 1 species
UCGAAUAUUACACAGCCAACUACUGUUGCUUUUUCUUCUUGGGCCUCCUCUUUCUUCGAGGUUUUCUGACAUCUGCGUUGGAACUUAGGUUACUGCUAUUUCCGAUGGGCAAAUCGACCGGGAAUCUUUUUAGGUUACUGCUAUUUCCGAUGGGCAAAUCGACCGGGAAUCUUUUUAGGUUACCACUCUUUUCGGUGGUCAUAUCCACCGGAAAUCUUUUUAAGUUGCCGCUCUUUUCGGUGGUCAAAUCCGGUGGGACCCACUUUCGGUUACUG